UUGGAGGGCAAGUCUGGUGCCAGCAGCCGCGGUAAUUCCAGCUCCAAUAGCGUAUAUUAAAGUUGUUGAGGUUAAAAAGCUCGUAGUUGAACCUUGGGCCUAGCCGGCCGGUCCGCCUCGCCGCGUGCACUGGCUCGGCUGGGCCUUUCCUUCUGGAGAACCGCAUGCCCUUCACUGGGUGUGUCGGGGAACCAGGACUUUUACUCUGAACAAAUUAGAUCGCUUAAAGAAGGCCUAUGCUCGAAUACAUUAGCAUGGAAUAAUAGAAUAGG
rnacentral:rRNA from 1 species